UACGUAGGGUGCAAGCGUUGUCCGGAAUUACUGGGCGUAAAGCGUGCGUAGGCGGUUCUCCAAGUCCGUUGUGAAAGCCCCGGGCUCAACCUGGGAAUGGCAGUGGAAACUAGGGGACUGGAAUCUGGCAGAGGGGGGUGGAAUGCCGCGUGUAGCAGUGAAAUGCGUAGAGAUGCGGCGGAACACCGAUGGCGAAGGCAGCCCCCUGGGCUGAGAUUGACGCUCAGGCACGAAAGCGUGGGGAGCAAACAGG
rnacentral:rRNA from 1 species